rnacentral:lncRNA from 1 species
AAAACCCCAUACCCAUAUGGACACCUUACACAACAAGCAGCACAAAAAGGCCAUCGAUUAAAAGGUACAAGUGCACGGCCACCUAAUGAGAAACAUGUGAGAGGUGAAACUGCCCCUGCUAAAGAAGGUGCAACAAAUUAUACAGGACACCAACUAGUGACGAAUGGAGCAAAUUCAUAAAAUCAUCAAGCCAUGAAAAGAUCUCCCUCCGUCUCUUUAUGCAUGGUUCGCCCCUGCAGUACCCUUUCAACCAGAGUUGAAAGUGGGCAACAAGAGGAUAUUGCCCACCAAUCACUACUGCCUUCCAUUUUCAAUUUGAAAAAAAGCCUCAACUCACACAGGUCAUCAGAUAAAAGAGCAGCCAGCAGGUAAAUAGCUAAACCUCUAUAUCAGACACUUAGAAAACAGAAAAAGGGACCAAUGAAUCCCAUCAAUAACCAUCAUCACAUUAAUCAGCAUGCGAGGAAAGAGCAACUCAUUAGAGAAUAGUGAGUUAGCAAGAAAAUUCCCCUCUCUCAGAGUACAAAUGCUGAAACGACAUCUUCAAGCUGCAAGAUCAGGGAGUCGUCGCUCAUUUAUCCCAAGGUCUCUUGCUUGGUUGCAGGAUCCGAGAAUGGGCGACUUUAGGUUCAGACUCGUUAAAAGCUUCCUAAUUAGUGCAAGGCAUGAAAAAACACAGCCGCAGACUUGGUGAAUACCGAUCCGUCACAGAUAAUAAGAAGCUUCAACAUUUGCUGUUUGCAGCACCAAAAGCCUAGUUACAAUCAGAGGAUCAACAUCAUCCACCAGUUUCGUUUCCCAAAUUUAAUGAUAAGAAAAUAUACGUUAGAUUCAGUCACCUUGAUAACCAAAUUGCCAAAUGUUCCCAAAAAGGUUACCACGUGCAGAGAGAUGCAAUCCAUAGAAAUCAGAUUUAGGGAUGGCAAUGGCUACUUGCAGGUACUCGACCUGAUUAUAUAAGAUUAGGGUACCUAUAAUCGAAUUCGGGUAAAAUUUGGGUAGUAAUUUCAC